ACAGCUGACGUCUGACAGGAAAACGUAACCUAAUCUAACCUCGAUCUCAUAAAUAUGCCUAACGAAAAAUGUUUAUUUGCAAAACUAAAUUUUUAAAAUAUACGUUACACCUUCAGUUGUCACAAAUAUUCAAAAUGAGUAGCAGAAAGUUGUCAGGUAAACGAAAUUAUGAAGACUACGAAGGUUUUAAAAGGCUUGUUGACACUGCAAAGAACAUAGUCGUGCUAACAGGUGCAGGAAUUUCUGCAGAAUCAGGGAUUCCAGUGUUUAGAGGUGCCGGAGGCUUAUGGAGAAAAUACAAAUCCGAAAAUUUGGCAAGUCCGGACGCAUUUGCUUCAAAUCCAGCGUUGGUGUGGGAAUUUUAUAACUACCGAAGACACAUCGCCUUCAAUGCAAGCCCAAACAAGGCCCACAUAUCUUUGGCAGACUAUGAGAAAAAGUGUAAAAAAGAAAACAGAAACCUCAGCAUUGUAACGCAAAACGUCGAUGGACUGCAUUUGCGCGCCGGAUCAGAGAAAGUGGUUGAAUUACAUGGGGCCCUCAGAAAAGUCUCUUGCACGAACGGAACGUGUGAAAAUGUUGAAGAAAAUUACGACGACCCCAUCGUACCUGCUUUUGCCAAUAGGGGGGACGCUUCAUUAGAUCAAGCAGAUUUGCCCGUAAUUGACAGGAAAGAUUUGCCCAAAUGUAAGAAAUGUGGUUCAUUAGCAAGGCCCUAUAUUGUAUGGUUCGGGGAAAUGCUGGACCCAGACGUUCUCGAGGAGAGUUAUUGGUUGGAGGAUGCGAUUUGUGCCUGGUGAUUGGCACUUCAUCUGUCGUCUAUCCAGCUGCAAUGUUUGCCCCUUCGGUUGCUCAGAGGGGCGUUCCAGUUGCUGAAUUCAAUUUAGAAGAGCAUCCGGCAGAUUCCGAUUUUGCGUUCCAUUUUCCAGGGCUGUGUGCAACAACUCUUCCGAAAGCAUUGGGAUUGCAAUAGAUAAGAAACAAGGCAAAAA
rnacentral:misc_RNA from 1 species